CCGGCAGGUCGGGCCAUCGCCUCCUGAUCUCAUGGAGGAGGAAAGUCCGGGCUCCAUAGAGCAGGGUACCAGAUAACAUCUGGGCGGAGAUGCGAUACCAUCUCCGACAGAAAGUGCCACAGAAAGGAUACCGCCUGCCCCUCUGGCAGGUAAGGGUGAAAUGGUGGGGUAAGAGCCCACCGGCACGCUGGUAACAGUGGGCGCAGGGCAAACCUUACCCGGAGCAAGGUCAAGCAGCGGGGGCUUGCUCGGCCGUACAACCCGCGGGUGGACCGCUCCAGCCUCAAGGCGACCAGAUAAAUGAUGGCCUAGAACAGAACCCGGCUUACGGGCCUGCCGGCUUU
rnacentral:RNase_P_RNA from 2 species